rnacentral:rRNA from 1 species
UGGGGAAUAUUGGACAAUGGGCGCAAGCCUGAUCCAGCCAUGCCGCGUGAGUGAUGAAGGCCUUAGGGUUGUAAAGCUCUUUCGACGGGGACGAUAAUGACGGUACCCGUAGAAGAAGCCCCGGCUAACUUCGUGCCAGCAGCCGCGGUAAUACGAAGGGGGCUAGCGUUGCUCGGAAUCACUGGGCGUAAAGGGCGCGUAGGCGGACAUUUAAGUCAGAGGUGAAAGCCCAGGGCUCAACCCUGGAACAGCCUUUGAUACUGGGUGUCUCGAGACCGGAAGAGGUUGGUGGAACUGCGAGUGUAGAGGUGAAAUUCGUAGAUAUUCGCAAGAACACCGGUGGCGAAGGCGGCCAACUGGUCCGGUUCUGACGCUGAGGCGCGAAAGCGUGGGGAGCAAACAGGAUUAGAUACCCUGGUAGUCCACGCCGUAAACGAUGGAUGCUAGCCGUUGGCGGGUUUACCCGUCAGUGGCGCAGCUAACGCGUUAAGCAUCCCGCCUGGGGAGUACGGUCGCAAGAUUAAAACUUAAAUGAAUUGACGGGGUCAUAGCUGUUUCCU